rnacentral:rRNA from 1 species
AGGUAACGGCUCACCAAACCUUUGACCGGUACGGGCCAUGAGAGUGGUAGCCCGGAGAUGGACACUGAGAUAGGGGUCCAGGCCCUACGGGGCGCAGCAGGCGCGAAAACUCCACACUGUACGUAAGUACGAUGGGGUUACCUCGAGUGUAGUCUGUAAAAGAUUGCUUUUCCAUAGAGUAAUAUCCUGUGGGAAUAAGAGGGGGGCAAGACUGGUGUCAGCCGCCGCGGUAACACCAGCCCCUCGAGUGGUAGGGACUUUUAUUUGGCCUAAAGCGUUCGUAGCCGUCUGUAACCGUUGCCCGUUAAAUCCAGCGUCUCAAGCGUUGGACUGCGGGCGAUACCUUACAGAUUGAGGGUGGGAUAGGUAAGCGGUAUUUCUGGGGUAGGGGCGAAAUCCUUUGAUCCCAGGAGGACCACCAGUGGCGAAGGCUGCUUACUAGAACACGCCUGACGGUCAGGAACGAAAGCUGGGGUAGCGAACCGGAUUAUAUACCCGGGUAGUCCCAGCUGUAAAACGAUGCGCGCUAGGUGUUGGGUCGGCCAUGCGCCGCCCCAGUGCCGCAGGGAAGCCGUUAAGCGCGCCGCCUGGGGAGUACGGCCGCAAGGCUGAAACUUAAAGGAAUUGGCGGGGGAGCAC